rnacentral:lncRNA from 1 species
UAGACAAGGCUUUAUUAUUAAGAUAGAAGAAUUAUUAUGUCUGAUUAAAUCAAACUUUUGGCAGGUGCAGAUGAAAACUGAGAUCUCAGAGAGGAUUGGCAACAAGCCUUGGGAGUUGAGCCCAUUUAAGAUAGGCCUCAUUAAGCAAAGUUUCAAAGGCACUGAAGAAAAAGUCUAAACCCUGAGGAUGUAUAAGAAGGUCAGAAAACAAAGCUACUGUGAGAAGUGCUAGCUACAGUGAGAAGUGCUAGCUAGUGACAGAGUGAGAAGUAUGUUGAAUUGUUUGUGAGAGGGAUUUCUCCCUCCAGAGGAAUCUUCUGUCUCUCUGUUGACUGUGUCCAUGGUGGACUGCACCAGACAUUGACAUCCCUAACACAGCUUGUCAAGCCAAAAUAGUCACCUGCCAACCAAGUUGAAGCAUGAGUUGCUCUGAAUGCUGGAUAAUGACUGUCCCGCCCCACGGAGAGAGGAUGCACAUGGCUGUGGGACCCAACAGGUGGCAAUCACAGCCCGGCCUCCGCCUCGGUGGAGUACCUACACAAGAGCCUCUGCCUUCUGAAAUCCUCCAAACCCGGCGGAAGAGAGAGCGCCAGCACUUAACAUUCACCUUCCUCUCUGCGCGCUACUUCCUUUCAGAUUUCAAGCCACUUUCCGAGAGUGAUGGAGUGCUUUGCUCCAUGUCAGAAAUCUGA